rnacentral:lncRNA from 1 species
AUCUGUACUCAAUGUGACUGUUGAGUGCUGUUAUUCUCUAGGUAUAUUAUCAGAGCAUUGUAAAGGAAGAGCAUUUCUCUGCGAACUCAUGGAAAAACAGUGGGGUUUUUUUCUUGGCCAGAUUCCCCAAAGAGAAUUGAAUUUCAAGAUGUGCAACUGCAUGGAAUUACACAGCAUGGCUAAAACAUACAGCAUUCAGACACAAAAUAACCCUUUUUCUCAUCUGAACUCUUCACUUAGAGGAAACUGUAAACUAAGUUGCAGUGGUGUUUGAGAAGAUAAACCAGACACUCAGACAUUGUAGCUGCUGAGAUGAUCCUCUCCUGUAAACAGGGAUUUGUGGACAGCAGUUUCUCAAACAUGCACCCAUGAUUGCUGAAACUUCUUUGCAAUCACUCUGAGUGUGGCCUUCAAAUGACCUAGCAUCUGCUCCGUAAACAGCUGUCCAGCGAGCCUUUUGUUGUCAUCUGUAUUCUUUUUCAUAGCAGUGGAGAAAGGAAGAAACCCUAUAGCCCCUAGCUAGCUGCUGUGUUUCUCUGCUAGAGAUUGCCCACCCCAUCAGGGGAGUUGGUCAGUGAAACAGAGCUUUGCUUUCCACAUCCCAAUACACAUACUUCAGCUGCCACCAGUGACUCAAUGCAGCACGUUGUGGUUUGGACAGAUGAGCUUCUCUUUCAUCUCUUCUACACUGGCAAAGAAGCAACAUAGCUGUGGACUGCAAGAACACAACACACAACAUCACAGUACCUGUACUGAUGCUAUACAAAGCAUAUGCCUUCACUUGUCUGAGCAUCUGUUUCCCAAUGCAUAAAGAAUGGUUAAAAAUAUUGGUCUGGUAAGAAUGGCUCUAAUGUGAAAAAACCAGCUAGCUCCCACUCUCCAUAUAGUUCAUUAGGAUUUUAAAGUACUCAUGAGUGCAAAUAUGGGUAUAGAAAGACAUAUUUCUGAAGUUUUUGAAAAUAACAAAAUAAUGAAUGAUUAAAGUUAAUUAUUUUGAAAAUGUCAUUAUUUCCUUCUGAAUCAAUUGCAGAUUAAAAAAUAUUUUUUUUUUAUUUUAUUUUGCUGUUGUUGAAAACAAAUAAUACCUUCC